GUUUACUUUCCUUCUCUUAGAUGAUUGAAGUGGAUGAAUCUGAUGAGGAAGAAAACAGUCUUCCUACCACAGGAGCAGAUAAAAGGUAUUCAAGUACAUCAUCCAGCAAACAUAUGUCCCAGAGCCAAAUAGCUAAAGGAGUCAAUUUUGAAUCAGAUGAGGAUGAUGAUGAUGAUCCUUUUAUGAAUGUCGGUUCUUUAAGAAGAAACAGAAGAUGAUAUAUUUAAUGAAAGCCAGACAUUUUCAGGAUACAGGAACAAAAAUGGAAAUGUUGUAAGAAGAUUUUACAGUUAGAGAUGUUUUAAACAUCUCUAAUUUGUUAACUUGAGGAAUUUGCAAGAGUGAAUAGAGAACCUAAUGUAUAAGAGUUUAUAUUUUCAUAUACUAUUUCCUGAACAUAAUUCAAUUACUUACAUAUUUCCUAGUUUAUGGAAAUAAAAUCAGUAUAGGUUCUCUAGUAUUUUAUUUUUUUUCUUUUUUAGGACGUUGUUCUUGCUAGACAAGCACUUUUCCUCUGAGCUACAUCCCAGCCCUCCUCAUUUUUUCAAAUGUAGUUGUUAACAUUGGUAAGAAUGUUGUAUAAAUUUAGAACAUUAUAUUCCUGAUAUAUUAAUGUAUAUUCUAAUAAAAGCUUUGCUUAAAUGCUGGUUUUAAGGAAGGAUUAAAAUGCAACAUUAUACAUUUAUGCUUUAUGAUAAGGGUUUUCAUUAUCUUAAUAUUACAUUAAUCAGAGUUGAAGGGAAGAACUUACAAAAUUUAACCUCUUCAUAAUUUUUAAUAUUUUCUGAGAGGUUUUGGAUUAUGUGAAAUUAAAACCUUGUAUAUGCCUUGA